AGGGAAUAUUGGGCAAUGGACGGAAGUCUGACCCAGCCAUGCCGCGUGCAGGAAGAAGGCCUUCUGGGUUGUAAACUGCUUUUAUCUAGGAAGAAAACGCCCAUGCGUGGGAAACUGACGGUACUAGAUGAAUAAGCACCGGCCAACUACGUG
rnacentral:rRNA from 1 species